UCGAGCGGAAACGAGUUAUCUGAACCUUCGGGGAACGAUAACGGCGUCGAGCGGCGGACGGGUGAGUAAUGCCUACGAAAUUGCCCUGAUGUGGGGGAUAACCAUUGGAAACGAUGGCUAAUACCGCAUAAUGCCUACGGGCCAAAGAGGGGGACCUUCGGGCCUCUCGCGUCAGGAUAUGCCUAGGUGGGAUUAGCUACUUGGUGAGGUAAUGGCUCACCAACGCGACCAUCCCUAUCUGGUCUGAGAGGAUGAUCACCCACACUGGAACUGAGACACGGUCCAGAUUCAUACGGGAGGCAGCAGUGGGGAAUAUUGCACAAUGGGCGCAAGCCUGAUGCAGCCAUGCCGCGUGUGUGAAGAAGGCCUUCGGGUUGUAAAGCACUUUCAGUCGUGAAGAGGGUGCCGUAGUUCAUACCGGCAUUACCCGACGUCUCCGACCGAAGACGCAGGGUCUUACUCGGUUCCAGCAGCGGUCGGAGUACGGGCGGUGCGAUCGUUUAUCCGAAUGUGUGCGCCCUUAGGGCAUGCCCGUGGUUCGUGAAGUUAGAUGUAAGCGGGCGGGCGUCGCCGCCUUCGGUCGCUUUGACUCCGUAGACUCCAGCACCCGUGGCGGGGG
rnacentral:rRNA from 1 species